rnacentral:rRNA from 1 species
UUUUCAAAAACAUCGCUCCCUGUUCAAAAUAAAUAGGGAGUCGGACCUGCCCGGUGAAUUUUUAACGGCCGCGGUACUCUGACCGUGCAAAGGUAGCAUAAUAAUUUGCCUUAUAAUUGAAGGCUAGUAUGAAUGGUUUGACGAGAAUAAAGCUGUCUCUUUACGAUUUAGUAGAAAUUUAUUUGUAGAUGAAAAAGUCUACAUGUUAUUAAUAGACAAGAAGACCCUAUCGAGCUUUAAAGGAUUCAGUAGGUUAAAAGCUAAUUAUUAAAUUAAAAAGCCAACUAUUGAUAAUUUUAGUUGGGGCGACUAAGGAACAACUAGAGCUUCCUUAAAUUUUAAUUGUCACCUGUAGGUUUUGAUCCAGAAAUACUCUGAUUAAUAAAAUUAGUUACCGUAGGGAUAACAGCAUUAUCUUUUUUGAGAGCUCUUAUCGAAAAAAAGGUUUGUGACCUCGAUGUUGGACCAGAAUAUCCUAAAGAUGCAGCAGUCUUUAAGGGUUGGUCUGUUCGACCAUUAAUAUUCUACGUGAUCUGAUUU